rnacentral:rRNA from 1 species
AGGUCCUACGGGGCGCAGCAGUGGGGAAUACUGCACAAUGGGGGAAACCCUGAUGCAGCAACGCCGCGUGAGUGAGGAAGUAUUUCGGUAUGUAAAACUCUAUCAGCAGGGAAUAGAAAAGAAGGUACCUGAAAAAGAAGCCCCGGCUAACUACGUGCCAGCAGCCGCGGUAAUACGUAGGGGGCAAGCGUUAUCCGGAUUUACUGGGUGUAAAGGGCGUGUAGGCGGGAGUGCAAGUCAGAUGUGAAAACUAUGGGCUCAACCC